rnacentral:rRNA from 1 species
GCCUAAUACAUGCAAGUCGAACGGAGUAGCAAUACUUAGUGGCGAACGGGUGAGUAUAAUGUGGGUAUCUGCCUUUUGGUGAGGAAUAACACGGGGAAACUUGUGCUAAUACUUCAUAAGCCUUCACAGGGAAAGUUUUAACGCCAAAAGAUGAGCUCGCACUUGAUUAGCUAGUUGGUAAGGUAAUGGCUUACCAAGGCUACGAUCAAUAGCUGAUCUGAGAGGAUGAUCAGCCACAUUGGGACUGAGACACGGCCCAAACUCCUACGGGAGGCAGCAGUAGGGAAUCUUGCACAAUGGGGGAAACCCUGAUGCAGCGAUGCCGCGUGAGUGAAGAAGGCCUUUGGGUUGUAAAGCUCUUUCGUCGGGGAAGAAAAUGACUGUACCCGAAUAAGAAGGUCCGGCUAACUUCGUGCCAGCAGCCGCGGUAAUACGAAGGGACCUAGCGUAGUUCGGAAUUACUGGGCUUAAAGAGUUCGUAGGUGGUUAGAAAAGUUGGUGGUGAAAUCCCAAGGCUUAACCUUGGAACUGCCAUCAAAACUUUUUGACUAGAGUAUGAUAGAGGAAAGUGGAAUUUCUAGUGUAGAGGUGAAAUUCGUAGAUAUUAGAAAGAACACCGAUUGCGAAGGCAGCUUUCUGGAUCAUUACUGACACUGAGGAGCGAAAGCAUGGGUAGCGAAGAGGAUUAGAUACCCUCGUAGUCCAUGCUGUAAACGAUGUGUGCUAGACGUUGGAAAUUUAUUUUCAGUGUCGCAGCAAAAGCGUUAAGCACACCGCCUGGGGAGUACGACC